UACGAGGGGGGCGAGCGUUGUUCGGAAUUAUUGGGCGUAAAGGGCGCGUAGGCGGUCGGAUAAGUCUUGUGUGAAAUCUUCGGGCUCAACUCGAAGUCUGCACAGGAAACUAUCUGGCUUGAGUGUGGGAGAGGUGAGUGGAAUUCCUGGUGUAGCGGUGAAAUGCGUAGAUAUCAGGAGGAACACCUGUGGCGAAAGCGGCUCACUGGACCACAACUGACGCUGAGGCGCGAAAGCCAGGGGAGCAAACGGG
rnacentral:rRNA from 1 species